rnacentral:rRNA from 1 species
UACGUAGGGGCCUAGCGUUGUCCGGAUUUAUUGGGCGUAAAGAGCUCGUAGGCGGUUUGGUGAGUCGGGUGUGAAAUCUCCACGCUCAACGUGGAGGGGCCACCCGAUACUGCCAUGACUAGAGUCCGGUAGGGGAGUGUGGAAUUUCCGGUGUAGCGGUGAAAUGCGUAGAUAUCGGAAGGAACACCAGUGGCGAAAGCGGCUUCCUGGUCCAGCACCGACGUUCAGGCACGAAAGCGUGGGGAGCAAACAGG